GAAAUUCUAAUUCUAGUCCAUACCUUUUUCUAAAACCAGGAAACUCCAGUGUGCUUGGCUGCAAGGCAAUCUGGUGUUCUUCCCAAAGGAGUUCGAUCAUUUAUAUUAGAGAAAAAAACAGGUCAAACCAAAUUUGUCAUAAGGAGACCUAUUAAAGUUUUAGCUGAAAAAAAGCCGAAGAAUCUACCAGAAGUUGAAGCUCAGUGUGAAACGACAGCAAAGGAAAUUCCUGAAGGAGUUGUAAAAGUGAUAUGUCCAGAGCAGUGCAAAAUGAAUAAGGACCAAGUGCAGAGCACAGAUGGAUAUGACAGUGAAACACCAGUAUGUAUGGCGGCAAUUCAAUCCGGUAUUCUUCGCAAAGGAGUUAUCAGAAUUAUAGUAGAAAGAAAACCAGGUCGAAAGAAAUUUUUUGUAAGGAAACCUAUUGAAGAAAUUGCAGAAAAUAAGUCAACAGAACUGC